rnacentral:rRNA from 1 species
AGCGAACGUUAGCGGCGGGCCUAACACAUGCAAGUCGAACGCGAAAGGUCUUCGGACUGAGUAGAGUGGCGCACGGGUGAGUAACACGUAGGUAAUCUACCCUUUGGCGGGGGGAUAGCGUUCCGAAAGGAGCGCUAAUACCGCAUAAGACCACGGAGUCUCCGGACGCUGUGGGAAAAGGUGGCCUCUUCUUGAAAGCUACCACCGAAGGAUGAGCCUGCGUCCCAUCAGCUAGUUGGUAAGGUAAUGGCUUACCAAGGCGAAGACGGGUAGCUGGUUUGAGAGAAUGAUCAGCCACACUGGCACUGGAACACGGGCCAGACUCCUACGGGAGGCAGCAGUGAGGAAUAUUGGGCAAUGGGCGAAAGCCUGACCCAGCCACGCCGCGUGAGUGAUGAAGGCCCUCGGGUCGUAAAGCUCUGUGGGGGGAGAAGAACAAAGCUGGUGAAGAGCCAGCCCUGACGGUAUCCCCUUAGCAAGCACCGGCUAACUCCGUGCCAGCA